rnacentral:rRNA from 1 species
AAGUGGCGCACGGGUGAGUAAUGUAUAGGUAAUAUGCCUCUUACUAAGGGAUAACAAUUGGAAACGAUUGCUAAUACCUUAUACUCCUUGUUAACUUAAGUUAAUAAGGGAAAGAUUUAUUGGUAAGAGAUUAGCCUGUAUUGUAUCAGUUAGUUGGUGGGGUAAUGGCCUACCAAGACUAUGACACAUAACUGGUUUGAGAGGAUGAUCAGUCACACUGGAACUGAGACACGGUCCAGACUCCUACGGGAGGCAGCAGUGGGGAAUAUUGCACAAUGGACGAAAGUCUGAUGCAGCAACGCCGCGUGGAGGAUGACACAUUUCGGUGCGUAAACUCCUUUUAUAUGAGAAGAUAAUGACGGUAUUAUAUGAGUAAGCACCGGCUAACUCCGUGCCAGCAGCCGCGGUAAUACGGGGGGUGCAAGCGUUACUCGGAAUCACUGGGCGUAAAGAGCAUGUAGGCGGAUUGAUAAGUUUGAAGUGAAAUCCUAUAGCUUAACUAUAGAACUGCUUUGAAAACUGUUAAUCUAGAAUGUGGGAGAGGUAGAUGGAAUUUCUGGUGUAGGGGUAAAAUCCGUAGAGAUCAGAAGGAAUACCGAUUGCGAAGGCGAUCUACUGGAACAUUAUUGACGCUGAGAUGCGAAAGCGUGGGGAGCAAACAGGAUUAGAUACCCUGGUAGUCCACGCCCUAAACGAUGUACACUAGUUGUUGUGAGACUUGAUCCUUGCAGUAAUGCAGUAACACAUUAAGU